AAGCGGAGGAGCAUGUGGUUUAAUUCGAUGAUACGCGAGAACCUUACCUGGGCUCGAACGUAAGAUGACUGUAGGUGAAAAGCUUACAUCUCUUCGGAGCAUUUUACGAGGUGCUGCAUGGUUGUCGUCAGCUCGUGCCGUGAGGUGUCGGGUUAAGUCCCAUAACGAGCGCAACCCCUACCUUUAGUUGCCAUCAGGUUAAGCUGGGGACUCUAAAGGAACUGCCUACGCAAGUAGUGAGGAAGGCGGGGAUGACGUCAAAUCAGCACGGCCCUUACGUCCAGGGCUACACACGUGCUACAAUGGCCGAUACAGAGGGCAGCUACCUGGUGACAGGAUGCAAAUCUCCAAAGUCGGUCUCAGUUCGGAUCGGAGUCUGCAACCCGACUCCGUGAAGUUGGAUUCCGCUAGUAAUACGACGCAUCAGCUAUGGCGCGGUGAAUACGUUCCCGGGCCUU
rnacentral:rRNA from 1 species